UCACACCUUUUCUUGAUCUGGUAUGUUCCACAGUUCUCAUUAUAUUUAUCCUGAUAUAGUUUUAAUAUGCAUACCAUCCUAACACGUUCCAAGUAUAUUUUGAUAAGUUUCUAAUUGGCACAUUUUUUUUUACUUUUAGCAAUAAAUUGUCUAAUAGCAUUUUUGUCUUGUGAAUGAUGCUGGGCAGAUUAUAAAUCAUAGAAGCUGCACAUGAAACUCCCCCCUUAUCUAAUCACAUCACAAAGGUCACCUCUGAAUACCACAGUGGGACUAAAUGUCUACCCUCUUCAUUGCUAUCAGCAGGGCUUGAAUUUCUGUAUAUGAUGACAUGAGGAAGGAUGGAUGUCCCAAGCAAGGUCUAGCUCACGCUCUAGUGCUCUACAAGAAAUAUUUCAAAAUAUGAUGGGAACAUUGUGAGCAGUAAGCCCAGAUGCAGAAAAAAAAAUCUUAGUUUCUAUUUCUUUGUUAUUAAAUAGUUUUGUUGUUGAUGGUGCUAAACAUCCUGUGAUGGCAUCAUACCUCUCAUACACGGGGACAAAGAUUUGAGGCUCCUUGCCUAUUAUUAGGAAGCUUUUUCACUAUUAUAAAAAUGCAUUGCUGGAGUAUGUUACGUUGGCUAAUACUGUUCCAGGAAAACCAUAAGUCCACACGGGAAGAGUCCAACCUCAUCCUCAGCUCCUCACUUUGUCAGCUCAUCGGACACAAAGCAACCACAAGGCUAGGCUUUCUGCUCUCUUUGUGGAGCUAGUGGCAUGAGAGAGCAGCCAUGUAUUUGAGCUAUCCUGGUCUCCUGGAGAGAGCCAGGGUGUGCUGUUGGACCUCGUUCACAUUGAACAUUUGUUCAGCAUGGUGGGAUGCAAUGUGAGUGGUGCCUGCCACAGGGAUAGGUUUGCUAGUCUUUUCAGGGAUCUUUUUGGGUUUCAAGAGAAUGCUUUUAAAAAGAAAGUAGAAGUGUGUUAACCUCUGGGCCUAAUUUACCACGUACUUGAUGUGUGUAGGCACAACGAAGGGAGUAUUCAGCUCUUUUAACGUCCCUUCAGAUUUUUCUACUUCCAUAAAUAUUUUUAACUAGAGCCUCAGUUACAAGCAUCACAUUUUCCUAACAUUACUGUUUUAGCUGAUGCUUAAAAUUGCUGCAAACUUAUCAAAAUAUGUGCAUUCAGUUUCCAGGCUGGUCUGUUUCUGAAGACUGAACCAAACCAGUCACUUCCUACUUUGUACAUUUUGCUGCCGCCGGUAGUUAAUUUUCUCUCUUAUAGUCUUCAUUAACGUGACCCAUUCUCCUUCAGAUUCUUCGCUGCUGCUUGAUUAAACAGCAUUGUUAGGUACGAUGAAGUAGGCUUACCUUGCACUGCCUUAGCAAGGCCUCUAUCUUUUAACAGUUGCUGGUAUUGGCAAGCUGCAAUGUUUGCAAAUAGCAGAUAAACAACACCUUGUAUGUACAUGCUAUUUUCUAAUUAACAUUGGGAAAGAAUUUAGGGUAAUGCUUUUAAGGCAAUGUGAACUUCAUAAUUAAUGUCUUUGUGUGCUUUGCUUUGUAAAAUAUUUUUUAUGUAAUUAUGAGAUAAUGCAGUGAGUCCUGCAUUGCUUCGGAGAAAAAUUACUAGAAAGCCAACAUGUAAAAAUAUAUCCUAGCACGUUUGUAGGAAUGCUCUAAUUUACAAAUUUCUUGAGUAUCCAUUGUUAGGAAGUAGAGCAGUGGUUUGACUAGCUGGGGCACUAUAUAUGUCCCUGGGUCAAUACCUCAUCACCUCCUUCUUAAAACCAUUCAAUGAGGGAUCUCAGUGCUUCUGGGAUAUGACACCAACUCCUUAACAAGAUUGGAGAACCCUGCAUAAUCUCAUCCAAUUCUCUCUGACUGUGGCCCUCCUACUGUGCUCAGCCACUCUCUUCCACCUCUUCUGUAAAGCCACCCCUAAGUUCCUUUCUAGGCAAGUGCUUUCUCCCUUCAGGCUGUCUGCUGUGAGUCCCGAUUGCUCUGUGGCUCAUGUUCUGUUUGUUGCAUAUGCAUAUUUUUUCACACUAUCCACAUAUCAGAUCUCAAUUGAGUUUCUUUUCUGGACACUGAGUUCCUCUUAUCGAUCUGUCACCGUGUUCUGUUAUAGAAAGAACCACAUUGCUUGUCUUCUUCACAACCAUUUCCAUUGCUGCUGAUACUCCUGUAUUACUUGUGUCUAUAAAGUCAAGGACAAUACCUGGUUUGGUCAUCCUUUUGUUUGCUUUGAACUCUGUACGUACUCAAGACCUGUUGAAAUGGGACCAGGAAGAAAUGCCUGUGUGAGCCUUUAAGCUACAGCUUACUCAGAAAAGUAACCACCGUUAGGAAUUUUUAAUGAUGGCACCUUUUUAAUACUAAUCUAAAUGACAGCAACACAGAAGAUUUUAAAAAGUCAAACUAUAGUCUCCCUUCAAAAGGAACUCUUAAAGAAAUAAAAGAUAGAUUAAAAAAGUAGAAAACGAUUACUGUGAGGUCUUUCUGGUUGGGUAAAUAUAUUCUCUGGUUCUUUAUUGCUCCCUAUGAGGGAUAAGGAGAACACUCAGAGCCUGCUAGGUAAUAUAGCCUCCUGCAUUUUUCAUAGAGUCUCUGAGGCUUUCAAGCAUUUGUGAACAAGAGCAGUGAUACCUUUCGAUUCUCUAUACAGUUUUUCUUACAAAUUAGCCAUUUACUUAGCGACUUUAUUCAUGAUAUUUUUGUGUUUACCCAAGAUUUUGAAACAUUGGCUAAUAACAGAUUUAUAUAUUUGCACAAGAUUUGGGUUUUCAGGGUUCAUAUUUGUUCUAUAAACAUAUUAAGAUUGUAGCUACUCAGCAGUUGUUUAUUCUCCAAUACAUGUGGAUAAAAGAUUGUCAAAUUUUGUUUAUGUUUUGGAGUAUCUCUGAGUGGGUGUCUAGAAUUUACUACUUGAGUCUUGGUAGUGAUGGUGAUGGAGGAAUGGAGAGGCGAGCUCACUCAUGCUACGACCAAGCUCGGGUAUGCACACACACAUUAGUUCACACAGCAGCGUUCUCCACAAACAGAUGUUGCUGGCAGGUGUUCUGCGAUGCUUGACUAGUAAUGCCUGUCUCCUGCUAGGUACUCUCUGAAAGAUAACCCUGUUCCCUAGGGCAAAACUAGAUUCUCCUCUGGCAACUUGCAGCUGCCAUCUUCAGUGUGUUUCAAGCCACAUUCAUAACCACUUUCAGGCUAUCUGCUGGGUUAGAGGCACUGUCCUGUGCUGAUUUCUGGGUUCUACUUCUGUUGGGUCCAACCUUUGAGGUCAUCCAUCCCUUCACUUUCUCCUCCCACAGUGUUCUUGUUAGUACCCCCUUUACUUGAGUAGUGGUAUUUUUUUUUUUUUAGUUUGCUAGAAAGGCAGUUUCAGGGAGGCCAAGCUAAGUUUCUGGAAGGUCACUUGCUAGAAAAGAGAAAACACAAAAUUGG
rnacentral:lncRNA from 1 species